rnacentral:rRNA from 1 species
CAGUAGCGUAUAUUAAAGUUGUUGCAGUUAAAAAGCUCGUAGUUGGAUUUCUGGUUUGGCGAACCUGACCCGCUUCUAUUUGAAGUGUGUGUCGGCCGUUGCCUACCAUCCUUCCAGAGAACUUAGCCUCCCCUUCAUUGGGAUGGGCUAGCGAUCUGGAACUUUUACUUUGAAAAAUUAGAGUGUUCAAAGCAGGCUUUGCGCUAUGAAUACAUUAGCAUGGAAUAAUAAUUUAGGACUACGGUUCUAUUUUGUUGGUUUCUAGAACUGAAGUAAUGAUUGAUAGGGAUAGUUGGGGGUGGCUAGUAUUCAGCGGCCAGAGGUGAAAUUCUUGGAUUCGCUGAAGACUAACUUAUGCGAAAGCAUUCACCAAGGAUGUCUUCUUUAAUCAAGAACGAAAGUUGGGGGAUCGAAGACGAUCAGAUACCAU